UGCCGCGUGUAUGAUGAAGGUCUUAGGAUUGGAAAAUAGUUUCACCGGUGAAGAUAAUGACUGUAUCCGGAGAAGAUUCCCCGGCUAACUUCAUGCCAGCAGCCGCGGUUAUACGAAGGGGGCUAGCGUUGCUCGGAAUUACUGGGCGUAAAGGGAGCGUAUGCGGACAUUUAGGUCCGAGGUGAAAUCCCGGAGCUUAACUUCAGAACUGCCUUUGAUACUGGGUGUCUUGAGUGUGAGAGAGGUAUGUGGAACUCCGAGUGUAGAGGUGAAAUUCGUAGAUAUUCGGAAGAACGCCAGUGGCGAAGGCGACAUACUGGCUCAUUACUGACGCUGAGGCUCGAAAGCGUGGGGAGCAAACCGGAUUAGAUACCCUGGUAGUCCACGCCGUACACGAUGAUUGCUAGUUGUCGGGAAGCUUGCUUCUCGGUGACACACCUAACGCAUUAAUCAAUCCACCUGGGGAGUACGGUCGCAAGAUUAAAACUCAAAGGAAUUGACGGGGGCCCGCACAAGCGGUGGAGCAUGUGGUUUAAUUCGCAGCAACGCGCAGAACCUUACCACCUUUUGACAUGACC
rnacentral:rRNA from 1 species